rnacentral:piRNA from 1 species
UGAGAGGGAGUCAAUACAAGGUUAGUGGU